UGAGUACGAGAUGCUACGGCAUCGAAGCAGUCUAUGUCAUACUUCCAAGAAAAGCUUGCACUGUCAGAAACAGAUAAUGCCUGUACCAUAACCGACACAGGUGGGUAGGUAGAGUAUACUAAGGGGCGCGAGAUAACUCUCUCUAAGGAACUCGGCAAAAUGACUCCGUAACUUCGGGAGAAGGAGUGCCUUAUUUUUAAGGUUGCAAUAACAAGAUCCAAGCAACUGUUUACCAAAAACACAGGUCUCCGCUAAGUCGUAAGACGAUGUAUGGGGGCUGACGCCUGCCCAGUGCCAGAAGGUUAAAGAAGUCGGUUAGCAUUCGCGAAGCUGGUAACUGAAGCCCUGGUGAACGGCGGCCGUAACAAUAACGGUCCUAAGGUAGCGAAAUUCCUCGUCGGGUAAGUUCCGACCCGCACGAAAGGCGUAAUGAUUUGGAUACUGUCUCGGAGAGGGGCUCGGUGAAAUAGACUUGUCUGUGAAGAUGCGGACUACCUGCACCUGGACAGAAAGACCCUAUGAAGCUUUACUGUAACUUGAAAUUGAAAUUGGACUUUAUUUGCGCAGUAUAGGUGGGAGGCGUUGAAAAUAUUCUUGCGGGAAUAUUGGAGCCAUCAGUGAGAUACCACUCUUGUAAUGUUAGAUUUCUAACUUUAUAUCAUUAUCUGGUUAAAGAACAGUUUCAGGCGGGCAGUUUGACUGGGGCGGUCGCCUCCCAAAUGGUAACGGAGGCGCACAAAGGUUUCCUCUGAACGGGUAGAAAUCGUAUCUAGAGUGUAAAGGCAUAAGGAAGCUUGACUGUGAGACCUACAAGUCGAGCAGGGACGAAAGUCGGUCUUAGUGAUCUGACGGUGCUGAGUGGAAAGGCCGUCACUCAACGGAUAAAAGUUACUCUAGGAUAACAGGCUGAUCUCCCCCAAGAGUUCACAUCGACGGGGAGGUUUGGCACCUCGAUGUCGGCUCAUCGCAUCCUGGGGCGGUAGUACGUCCCAAGGGUUGGGCUGUUCGCCCAUGAAAGCGGUACGCGAGCUGGGUUCAGAACGUCGUGAGACAGUUCGGUCCAUAUCCGGUGUAGGCGUUAGAAUAUUGAGAGGAGCCUUCUUUAGUACGAGAGGACCGAGAAGGACAUACCUCUGGUGUACCAGUUAUCGUGCCAACGGUAAACGCUGGGUAGCUAUGUAUGGAGUGGAUAACCGCUGAAAGCAUCUAAGUGGGAAGCCCACCUCAAGAUAAGUAUUCUCAUC
rnacentral:rRNA from 1 species